rnacentral:rRNA from 1 species
GGGGGAAUUUUGGACAAUGGGGGCAACCCUGAUCCAGCCAUGCCGCGUGAGUGAAGAAGGCCUUCGGGCUGUAAAGCUCUUUCGGCCGGGAAGAAAUCGUGGUCUCUAACAUAGGCCAUGGAUGACGGUACCGGACUAAGAAGCACCGGCUAACUACGUGCCAGCAGCCGCGGUAAUACGUAGGGUGCGAGCGUUAAUCGGAAUUACUGGGCGUAAAGCGUGCGCAGGCGGUUUUGUAAGACAGAUGUGAAAUCCCCGGGCUCAACCUGGGAACUGCGUUUGUGACUGCAAGGCUAGAGUACGGCAGAGGGGGGUGGAAUUCCACGUGUAGCAGUGAAAUGCGUAGAGAUGUGGAGGAACACCGAUGGCGAAGGCAGCCCCCUGGGCCUGUACUGACGCUCAUGCACGAAAGCGUGGGGAGCAAACAGGAUUAGAUACCCUGGUAGUCCACGCCCUAAACGAUGUCGACUAGUCGUUCGGAGCAGCAAUGCACUGAGUGACGCAGCUAACGCGUGAAGUCGACCGCCUGGGGAGUACGGCCGCAAGGUUAC